rnacentral:rRNA from 1 species
UACGGAAGGCAGCAGUGGGGAAUAUUGCACAAUGGGCGCAAGCCUGAUGCAGCCAUGCCGCGUGUAUGAAGAAGGCCUUCGGGUUGUAAAGUACUUUCAGUCGUGAGGAAGGUGUUAAGGUUAAUAACCUUAGCAAUUGACGUUAGCGACAGAAGAAGCACCGGCUAACUCCGUGCCAGCAGCCGCGGUAAUACGGAGGGUGCGAGCGUUAAUCGGAAUUACUGGGCGUAAAGGGCACGCAGGCGGUUAAUUAAGUUGGAUGUGAAAUCCCCGGGCUUAACCUGGGAAUGGCAUUCAAGACUGGUUAGCUAGAGUCUUGUAGAGGGGGUAGAAUUCCAUGUGUAGCGGUGAAAUGCGUAGAGAUGUGGAGGAAUACCGGUGGCGAAGGCGGCCCCUGGGACAAAGACUGACGCUCAUGUGCGAAAGCGUGGGGAGCGAAACAGGAUUGAUACC